rnacentral:rRNA from 1 species
GACGAACGCUGGCGGCGUGCUUAACACAUGCAAGUCGAGCGGUAAGGCCCUUUCGGGGGUACACGAGCGGCGAACGGGUGAGUAACACGUGGGUGACCUGCCCUCAGCUCUGGGAUAAGCCUGGGAAACCGGGUCUAAUACUGGAUAUGACUCCAUGACGCAUGUUGUGGGGUGGAAAGCCUUGUGCGGCUGAGGAUGGGCCCGCGGCCUAUCAGUCUUUGGUUGGGUGGGGUGAUGGCCUACCAAGGCGACGACGGGUAGCCGGCCU